ensembl:lncRNA
GGCGGCAGGUGGCAGCUGGAGCGGCCGGAGCUGCGCGAUAGCUCCGCUCAGCGGGUCGUGCCCCGUGGCACAGCUCCGGCCCGUCUCUGCUUUUCCUCGGUGCUGCAGCGUUUCGACGCCGGCAGUCCGCUUACGUACAGUUCUUACGUGGAGAAGGCAAGCAGAGGCGAUAGGAUGCUGAUCUCUCUGCAGGGCGGUGUGAUCUCCGUGUGUUCUGCCCCUCGCACUGUGCCCAGCAGCUGGAGCCUGCUACAGCCAUACAGAAACCCCUCUGCACACCUGAGCUGAGGGCUGGAUUUUCAGAAUUCGUUUGUCCUCUUGGAUUGAAAUGCUGGCUCCAGGUGGUGAUGAGCUCUCCUGUGAAGUUAGUUAGCAACACCUGAACCUUCUCCUGGGGUAGCUGGGGACAAUUUGUUCAACCCCAAACUCCUCUCGGCUGCACGUGCACGCCAGUAUCAGAGAGCCUCAGAAGCACUGCAGCCACAGCCCUGCUGCUGCCGUGGCCAUACCUGAGAUGUGUGCUAGGCGUGGGGCUCCAGGGCCAUCACCAUUUCCUUGAUCCACACCUGAGGAGCAGCAGAACCACAGCCCUGCAGCUUCUUUGCAUGCCUUCUGUGGGACACGGUUAACAUCUGUUGUCUGCACCUCCAUGGCUCUCUGUAGCAGCGAUAGCAAAGUUAGCAGCAUAAAAAAGCCACGUUUAAGGAGCAGCCGAGGAGUGAGAUGAGUUGUUUAUGAUUAAAUUAAAUUCAUAUGCAAGUUAAUGACCUGCCAGUGUGAUGCUCGGGUAACUCUGUAAUGUAAUUAAAAGCCCAUCGGGGAGGAGAGCUGUCGGUUAUGCCAUGCGUUGAGUUGCUGCUGGGAAGAAGCAGGCAAUGGGGGGGAGCAGCCGUGGAGCAAUGCCUGGUUGCUGCCUUGUGUUCUCCCCUGCCAAGGGCACAGCCUGACGGAGCGGGCUGCUGGGGUAGGGUGUGGUGCCUCAGCCCCCAUUUCUGAAGGCUGUGGAGGUUUUCCCGGGUAGGACAGUUCUGGAGAUCCGACCAUACCGACGCUUAACAAAACCUGUUUUCUACCCAUUUCUGAAAUGCUGGAGGGAUGCUGCUGUCAGUGCCCAAGCCAGCAAAGCUUGGGAGUAGUAGUUGUGGCACGCGAGUGGAGUCAAGGAGCCCACACCCGGGUCCCCUAAGCCAGAACAUACACAUCAAACUGGACCCUCCUGCA